rnacentral:misc_RNA from 1 species
UGCGAGGUCCUGAGCGUGGCCCAG